rnacentral:rRNA from 1 species
GACGAACGCUGGCGGCGUGCUUAACACAUGCAAGUCGAACGGAAAGGCCCUGCUUUUGUGGGGUGCUCGAGUGGCGAACGGGUGAGUAACACGUGAGUAACCUGCCCUUGACUUUGGGAUAACUUCAGGAAACUGGGGCUAAUACCGGAUAGGAGCUCCUGCUGCAUGGUGGGGGUUGGAAAGUUUCGGCGGUUGGGGAUGGACUCGCGGCUUAUCAGCUUGUUGGUGGGGUAGUGGCUUACCAAGGCUUUGACGGGUAGCCGGCCUGAGAGGGUGACCGGCCACAUUGGGACUGAGAUGCGGCCCGGACUCCUACGGGAGGCAGCAGUGGAGAAUAUUGCAAGAUGGGCGGAAGCCUGAUGCAGCAACGCCGCGUGCGGGAUGACGGCCUUCGGGUUGUAAACCGCUUUCGCCUGUGACGAAGCGUGAGUGACGGUAAUGGGUAAAGAAGCACCGGCUAACUACGUG